CCAUCUUCCGCGCGUUGCCCGUCGCCCAGGGAGACCGGCGCUUUCACGACGGCCGCGGUGCGGUUUACGGCUCCUCUUCCGGUUGGCUCCUUACACAACUUUAUCGGCAGCUCCGGGCACGGACAGGAUACAUCCGGGGUUUCCAGAACAGGUGCCGGAGAGGUCUGCAGCUCAAGCCGGAACUGCCUGCAGGCCACUGUGAGUUUCACUAAAGUAGUCCAUGAUCUUGCUGCCUCCACGUCCACGAAGUAUGGCCAGGCAGCCUGCAGAGCCUCUGGACCAGCACCAGCCUCUGCCAUGAGCACACGUCCUAGAUAAAGCCUGCAGAGUCACAAUCAGAUGGACCAGACAGAAGGAAAAGAGCUGAAAGACCUGCAGGACAGUGAUGCAUGUCACCAGGGUUCUAGAAAAAGAGGAGGAAGAACGUGGGCUGAAGAUACAGUUAGAAAUAAUGGCUGAAACCGCCCCAGAUCUGUGCCUGUGAAACAGACUCUCGGAGAGACCAAAUCCUGGGCCAAUGGAAAGGAUCGAAAUCAUACAGGGUAUGUCCUUCAAUGAAAAUGGAAUCACACUGAAAAUCAGCAGAGGACCAGAAGAGCUUCAAAUGUGGAAUUUCAACAACACGGUUCGACCCAGAAACGAAGGAACGAACUGCGGAUAGACAGGACGGCCUGGCGACUGUAGGGAAUUAUGCCAAGUCAGAUGAUCGCUGAAGGGGGACUGUAGCAUGACUCCAUGUACAUGAUGUUCAUGACAAACAGCUUCGUGUUCUCUGGGGUCAGGGGUGGGGCUAGGUGUGCAUAAAUGCAGCUAUAGAGCAGCUGCAUAAUAAAUGCAGCUAUAGAGCAGCUGAGUGUGGUGAUAGACGGUAUUUAGGUGUCUUGGUGAUGAUGGUGGCUGGACAGACAUUUAGGUGUUUUUUUUUUUUUAAGAUUGAUUGAUUGAUUGAUUGAUUAGAGUGUGAGUUG